rnacentral:tRNA from 1 species
GGGCCGUUAGCUCAGCAGGUAGAGCAGCUGACUCUUAAUCAGCGGGUCGGAGGUUCGAAUCCUCCACGGCUCA